CCUCUCUCCUGCUGGCAGCUGAACUUGGUGGUGUCACAGUCACCCAGGUGAUGCUGGUUUUGAAGGCAUAGAUGGGCUGUGGAAAGCAGCUGAGGCUUGACACUGUGUGACAGGCCUGGAGUUCCCGAAGAAAGCCUAUUGGUGAAAGUGCAGCCUGGUCACAGGAAGGGACCCUAGCAUUUUGGAGAUGCCAGCACCACGGGACGGGACGACCACCAGGAAGAGCAGCAGAGUGGAGCCAGCCAGGGCCUAGAAGACGAGCUGUGUGUGCUGCAGAGAGCGGAGCUGGAGAAGUGAGCCAAGCCCUUUGGAGGAGCCCGGAAGAUGGUAUGGAGAUAUCCACUGGAGCAUGCUUGACCUACUGGGACCAUGUUCUUAAAGAAAACUGGCUCUCCCGUCCUCAGAAAGACCACCAACUAUCAAUGGCUCCUUACCUACAGGCCAGACCUGGGGAGAACCAGGACUCCUGCAGUUGGCUACACUCCUGCCCAAGCUCAUGGAGGGGCUGCUGAUAGCUGUCAGAGUGUGCUGUUUCCCGACCUCCAUGGCUCUGCUCAGUGGCUGUUAGCAUGACUCUCGGUGUACUACCCGCCUGGUUUGGUGCCAUUGCUGUGAGGAAAAGGCUACACUCCUCUAUUCUUCCCUUCCUCAGAGCUUCUUGUUUGUCCUGUGCGAUAGAAGAUCACAAUCCCCACCAUUUUAUUCAAACCAACUCUAUCGAGACAAAACUCACAUGUAAUGAAGACAUGAGCCCAUUUAAGGUGUAUACUCAGAUGAUUGACAAGCCAGGGAUGUUUGCGUCACUCUGGAAGAAACCACCCCCUUCCCAGGGACCCUCCAACAUUGCCAGGCAGUGAGGACUUCUGAUGCCCCAGGUUAGACCAGCCUGCUCUGGGAGCUGCAUCUUAGAAGGGACAGUGUGUGUGUGUGCUCUGCUGUCUGGUGCCUGACAUUUGACAUUCAGAUUUCCAGCUGUCUGCCAUCACAGGUGGCAAGCCCUUCUCCUCUUGUUGCUGAGUGGCAUGUCCCUGGCUUGGUGGCUUGUCUUGAACACACAGAAGGCACGUGGGGUUUCAUGGGUGAAGUUGCUGCAAGCUUCCUUAAGCAGGAUUUGGCUUAGACCAAUAAUUUCAUUUUCUUGGGAAAAAAAAGACCUGAGAGAAAACUAAUGGGUUAUAGAAGCUUGGAAGGAAGCUUCUGCUGGACAAUUUGAGAGGCCAUUUUCCAAAAUGUAUAUCCUUCUGAGGUAGGAGCUAGCUCAUGGUAAGGGAGAAGGGUCUAUGGUGAAAAGCUACAAAUUGCUCAGAAAUGGUACAGUGAAAACGGAUUCUGGUUAAAGGGAUAUUAGAGCUAAAAUAAUGGAGCUGGGUCAGGAUGAAAAACAAGAGCUUGUAGCUGGGUGUGAACAAGCUAAGCUCACCUGCUAGGAGGCUGAUGGGGCCUCUAAGAGGCAAGGCCAGCAUGGGCAGGCCAGUCAGCUGGCUUCCACAGGGUCUCCCUGGGAAGUAUACAGAGAUCACUGGAGUCUUUUUGAUGCAGGAGAAACUUGAAGGAAUAGAGUUGAAGGGAUUUGCUAAUAAGCUUGCUUAAGAAAUAAUUAGGUUAUACAAAGUAGAAUUUAGCAAAAGAAGGGUUGCCUCUGCUAUGACUAGAGAUAAGCAGUGUGCUUAUCAGGCUGACUAGAAACUGUGAGAAAGACAUUUCCUCCCAUAAUGGAAAACUAUGGUUACUGAGAAAACAUUUCUGCUAAUGUUUGUUCACCAAUAGUGACCUCCAGUUAGGCUCCAUUCCCUCAACCAAAGGAGACAACCCUGACUUGCAUCCAGCUGUCAGGCCCAUCCUCAUAGUGAAGGACACUCCUCUAAUGAGCAGCUCAAGGGAGCAGCUCAGGGUCAACUGUCAUCGCUUCUCAGGAAAAACAUCCUUCCACCAGGUGGGAAAGUUGACUCCGGGUGACAACUAUUCCAGAAUAACCACACUGGUGUACUUAAGAACUAAUUCUGGCAAUGGCUUCACUGUGUAACCCUCCCUUCUGCCUAAGUGGCCAGACUUGCAGUCUCCUGUCUGUUUAAAUUGCUCAAAGUUUGACCUGGGGCUGGACCUGAAAGAGAUUAAAGAAUGACAGCAUAUGUGAAAUAUAUAAGCCCAAGGCCUAUAUAAACUGGCAAAAUUUUCUGUUCGAGGCUGGAUCCUUUUGUACGUUAGCCAGAACCUGU